rnacentral:rRNA from 1 species
AGCAGCCGCGGUAAUUCCAGUUCCAAUAGCGUAUAUUAAAGUUGUUGCAGUUAAAAAGUUGGUAGUUGAAUUUCGAGACCGGCUUAUUGGUCGUGCUUUUGUACGUACUGGUAAAUCGGUUUCUCCUUUCUGACGAACUUUAAUGCCAUUAAUUUGGUGUUUUAGGGAAUCAGGACUGUUACUUUGAAAAAAUUAGAGUGUUUAAAGCAGGCUCACGCUUGAAUACAUUAGCAUGGAAUAACGGAAUAGGACGUUUGAUUCUAUUUUGUUGGUUUCUAGGAUCGACGUAAUGAUUAAUAGGGAUAGUUGGGGGCAUUAGUAUUCAAUUGUCAGAGGUGAAAUUCUUGGAUUUAU